rnacentral:rRNA from 1 species
GUCCACGCUGUAAACGAUGAGUGUUAGGUGUUGGGGUCGCAAGAUCUCAGUGCCGCAGCUAACGCAUUAAACACUCCGCCUGGGAAGUAAGAUCGCAAGAUUAAAACUCAAAGGAAUUGACGGGGACCUGCACAAGUGGUGGAACAUGCGGUUUAAUUCGAUGUCACGCGAAAACCUUACCAACUCUUGACAUGGUGGUCGCGAGGUACAGAAAUGUACUUUUUCAGUUCGGCUGGACCACACACAGGUGUUGCAUGGCCGUCGU